rnacentral:lncRNA from 13 species
CAAAAAGAUUGACUAGCUGAAGGCCCAGAUGAUUGUUGGCAUUUUAAAGCAAUAAAGUAUUUUAAAUUAAGCCCAGAUGGUGAAAUGACUCAUCUCGUCCACUGGCCGGCAAAACAAAGGAGACAGAAGAGGAGCUGUUAUAAUCCAGAUAAAAAUGGACGACGUUUCAGAGACUCAUCUUUUCUGAAAAGACUUUUCUUGUCCACAAAUGGCUUUGAUGCUAAUACCUUUA